rnacentral:sRNA from 18 species
AGUGAUGCUGACAAUUCAUUCCUCCCGGAACAAUGUUGGCACAGACUGCGGUGCACCUCCUCCCGCGCCGCUGUUCAGAUCAGGCCUGCCGGUCCUCCCCCGGCGGGCCUUUUUC